rnacentral:rRNA from 1 species
AGCUCCAAUAGCGUAUAUUUAAGUUGCUGCAGUUAAAAAGCUCGUAGUUGGAUUUCGGGUGGGGCCUGCCGGUCCGCCGUUUCGGUGUGCACUGGCCGGGCCCACCUUGUUGCCGGGGACGGGCUCCUGGGCUUUAUUGUCCGGGACUCGGAGUCGGCGAGGUUACUUUGAGUAAAUUAGAGUGUUCAAAGCAGGCCACCGCUCUGAAUACAUUAGCAUGGAAUAACACGAUAGGACUCUGGCCUAUCUUGUUGGUCUGUAGGACCGGAGUAAUGAUUAAGAGGGACAGUCGGGGGCAUUCGUAUUUCAUUGUCAGAGGUGAAAUUCUUGGAUUUAUGAAAGACGAACUACUGCGAAAGCAUUUGCCAAGGAUGUUUUCAUUA